AGAGUUUGAUCCUGGCUCAGGACGAACGCUGGCGGCGUGCCUAACACAUGCAAGUCAAAGGAAAGCAACUUCGGUUGUAAGUACUUGGCGCAAGGGUGAGUAAUGUAUAGGUAAUCUGCCCUUAGGACUGGCAUAACCUCGAGAAAUCGAGGACAAUACCAGAUGAUGCAGCGGGACCGCAUGGUCAUGUUGUUAAAGAUUUAUCGCCUAAGGAUGAACCUAUAUCCCAUCAGGUAGUUGGCAGGAUAAUAGCCUACCAAGCCUACGACGGGUAGCUGGUCUGAGAGGAUGAUCAGCCACAUUGGAACUGAGACACGGUCCAGACUCCUACGGGAGGCAGCAGUGAGGAAUAUUGCGCAAUGGGGUAACCCCUGACGCAGCAACGCCGCGUGAGUGAAGAAGGCCUUUGGGUCGUAAAGCUCUGUCAACUGGGAAGAAGUUACAAAUAUCUAAUAGGUGUAUGUAUUGACGGUACCAGUGGAGGAAGCGCCGGCUAACUCCGUGCCAGCAGCCGCGGUAACACGGGGGGCGCAAGCGUUAUUCGGAAUUAUUGGGCGUAAAGGGCGUGUAGGCGGUCUUAUCGGUCAGAUGUGAAAGCCCAGGGCUCAACCCUGGACGUGCAUUUGAAACAGUAAGACUUGAGUACUGGAGAGGAAAGCGGAAUUCCUGGUGUAGAGGUGAAAUUCGUAGAUAUCAGGAGGAACACCGAUGGCGAAGGCAGCUUUCUGGACAGAAACUGACGCUGAUGCGCGAAGGCGUGGGUAGCGAACAGGAUUAGAUACCCUGGUAGUCCACGCAGUAAACGAUGUACACUAGGUGUAGGAGAUAUUAAAAUUUUCUGUGCCGCAGUUAACGCAUUAAGUGUACCGCCUGGGGAGUACGGUCGCAAGACUAAAACUCAAAGGAAUUGACGGGGGCCCGCACAAGCGGUGGAGCAUGUGGUUUAAUUCGACGCAACGCGAAGAACCUUACCUGGGUUUGACAUCCUGUGAACGUCCAAGAGAUUGGACAGUGCCUUCGGGAGCACAGAGACAGGUGCUGCAUGGCUGUCGUCAGCUCGUGUCGUGAGAUGUUUGGUUAAGUCCAGCAACGAGCGCAACCCUUAUCGUUAGUUGCCAGCACGUAAUGGUGGGAACUCUAGCGAGACUGCCCGGGUUAACCGGGAGGAAGGCGGGGAUGACGUCAAGUCCUCAUGGCCCUUAUAUCCAGGGCUACACACGUGCUACAAUGGUAAAUACAGAGGGCAGCAAGCCGGCAACGGUUAGCAAAUCCCUAAAGUUUAUCUCAGUCCGGAUUGGAGUCUGCAACUCGACUCCAUGAAGUUGGAAUCGCUAGUAAUCGCGGAUCAGCAUGCCGCGGUGAAUAUGUUCCCGGGCCUUGUACACACCGCCCGUCACACCAUGAGAGUUGAUUAUACCCGACGUCGUUGGGCCAACCUUUUAUUAGGAGGCAGGCGCCUAAGGUAUGGUUGAUAAUUGGGGUGAAGUCGUAACAAGGUAACC
rnacentral:rRNA from 1 species